AAUGUACUCCCUCCGUCCCAAAAUUCUUGUCUUAGAUUUGUCUAAAUACGGAUGUAUCAAGUCACGUUUUAGUAUUAGAUAGAUUCAUAUCUAGUCAAAUAUAAGACAAGAAUUUUGGGAUGGAGGGUGUACUAC
rfam:Triticum aestivum genome assembly, contig: Triticum_aestivum_CS42_TGACv1_scaffold_579813_7BL